rnacentral:misc_RNA from 1 species
GUGAAUUUGUGUGUGUGAGCAUGCACACGGAUUUGUGCAUUUUGUAUGACUUUUUCUUUCAAGUAUGGACAAAUGCAUCUGGAGGCUCCAAUACUUGUCUCAAAUGUGCAGUUAAGCUUUUCAAAAAAAUUUAGUUUGUUCAAUUGAUUACAAAAAUUUUUAAACCAAUUAAGCCUAUGAAGAAUAUUAUAAUAUGUAAAUUCUAAUAAAGCUAAAAUUAGUAUUAUUUUAUUAUUUUUUAAUUUUUGGACAAAUACAUUAAUUUUUUAAUGUUAAAAGGACAAAAGAGCUAAGAUCAAUAAAGGUAAUUCAUACACACUUUUCUUGAAUUUUGUGCUGUAAUUGCUUCAUUAGGUAGACAAAUAUAUAGGGAAGUAUAAUAGAAUUGGGUUAUUGUUUAUGGUUAACAAGUAUUACUAAAAUUGACAAUAGAAUAAUCGCUGAAUUAGAUUUCAGAAGAAACCUACUUAAGCAAAAGAUGGUCAAAAUUCUAGAGAGAGAUUGCUAUGAAAUGUCUUGCUCCUGAAUCUCUAUGAUGAUGCUUGGUAGUGAGAACCUCUCUAAGGAUGGAGAUAAGCAUGGAUUCAUUCCUUUUUUCAACCAUUCCCUCAAAUUCAAGGGCCAUGUCCCUUUAUGUCUUUGAAUUUGAUUUUCCUUAGAAUCCUUCCACCUUGUUGCCGGCCAUCAUCCCCUAAUUAAAUCAUGGCAAGGCUGAACCUAUUGUAGAAACAAUUGUAGGUAGGGUUUAUUUCUUCCAUAACCUUCUUGCUUGUCAGUCACAGAAGAGAUGCCCAGAUGCUUUUUGAGGUUUUUGUUCCUUUCUCCGAUUUGUGGGAGGUGCUAAUUGAUCCUUCUUUCUAACUUGAAACUCAGUGUUCUCAUGGAGGCAAAAGUUCUCUGUAUGGUGAAUUCUAUGUGUUGAGAAACCUUUUUUUAUAUGGUGAUGGCAUUGAAAUGUAACAACAGAAUUGACAUGGGCACUGGAGAUUUUGGCAUUAUGGAACAUGGGUGAUGGGUCUACAUAUUCCCCUCCCUUGAGUGGAUUUUUAGAGUUUCUUUUUUCUUUGUAUGAAAUUUUUUGGUUCAACAUUAAAUGUUUUUUAUUCAAGAGUGGCUUAAUUCCUCAUUAAAAAGUAGUGCCUGAGCCUCUUGAUACAUUUGAUCUUCCUGUAUUUGAGCAUAUGGUGUGAUUUGCAUGCAUUUAGAAAGCCUCUUUAGUCUUUUUUCUUUGCAUGUUUGCAGAGAACAAAAAUGAGCGGGUGGUU